GAUGAACGCUGGCGGCGUGCCUAAUACAUGCAAGUCGAGCGAACAGACGAGGAGCUUGCUCCUCUGACGUUAGCGGCGGACGGGUGAGUAACACGUGGAUAACCUACCUAUAAGACUGGGAUAACUUCGGGAAACCGGAGCUAAUACCAGAUAAUAUAUUGAACCGCAUGGUUCAAUAGUGAAAGACGGUUUUGCUGUCACUUAUAGAUGGAUCCGCGCCGCAUUAGCUAGUUGGUAAGGUAACGGCUUACCAAGGCAACGAUGCGUAGCCGACCUGAGAGGGUGAUCGGCCACACUGGAACGUAGACACGGUCCAGACUCCUACGGGAGGCAGCAGUAGGGAAUCUUCCGCAAAGGGCGAAAGCUUGACGGAGCAACGCCGCGUGAGUGAUGAAGGUCUUCGGAUCGUAAAACUCUGUUAUUAGGGAAGAACAAAUGUGUAAGUAACUAUGCACGUCUUGACGGUACCUAAUCAGAAAGCCACGGCUAACUACGUG
rnacentral:rRNA from 1 species